GAUGAACGCUGGCGGCGUGCUUAACACAUGCAAGUCGAACGGAAAGGCCAGUGCUUGCACUGGUACUCGAGUGGCGAAAGGGUGAGUAACACGUGGGUGAUCUGCCCUGCACUUCGGGAUAAGCCUGGGAAACUGGGUCUAAUACCGGAUAGGACAAUGGUUUGGAUGCCGUUGUGGAAAGUUUUUUCGGUGUGGGAUGAGCUCGCGGCCUAUCAGCUUGUUGGUGGGGUAAUGGCCUACCAAGGCGUCGACGGGGAGCCUGCCUGAGAGGGUGUACGGCCACAUUGGGACUGAGAGACGGCCCAGACUCCUACGGGAGGCAGCAGUGGGGAAUAUUGCACAAUGGGCGCAAGCCUGAUGCAGCGACGCCGCGUGGGGGAUGACGGCCUUCGGGUUGUAAACUCCUUUCGCUAGGGACGAAGCGUAUUUGUGACGGUACCUGGAGAAGAAGCACCGGCUAACUACGUG
rnacentral:rRNA from 1 species